rnacentral:rRNA from 1 species
UUAAGCGACUAAGCGUACACGGUGGAUGCCCUGGCAGUCAGAGGCGAUGAAGGGCGUGCUAAUCUGCGAUAAGCGCCGGUAAGGUGAUAUGAACCGUUAUAACCGGCGAUACCCGAAUGGGGAAACCCAGUGUGACUCGUCACACUAUCAUUAACUGAAUCCAUAGGUUAAUGAGGCGAACCGGGGGAACUGAAACAUCUAAGUACCCCGAGGAAAAGAAAUCAACCGAGAUUCCCCCAGUAGCGGCGAGCGAACGGGGAGGAGCCCAGAGCCUGAAUCAGCAUGUGUGUUAGUGGAAGCGUCUGGAAAGACGCGCGAUACAGGGUGACAGCCCGUACACAAAAGCGCAUGUGCUGUGAGCUCGAUGAGUAGGGCGGGACACGUGGUAUCCUGUCUGAAUAUGGGGGGACCAUCCUCCAAGGCUAAAUACUCCUGACUGACCGAUAGUGAACCAGUACCGUGAGGGAAAGGCGAAAAGAACCCCGGCGAGGGGAGUGAAAAAGAACCUGAAACCGUGUACGUACAAGCAGUGGGAGCACCCUUUGGGGUGUGACUGCGUACCUUUUGUAUAAUGGGUCAGCGACUUAUAUUCUGUAGCAAGGUUAACCGUAUAGGGGAGCCGUAGGGAAACCGAGUCUUAACCGGGCGUUAAGUUGCAGGGUAUAGACCCGAAACCCGGUGAUCUAGCCAUGGGCAGGUUGAAGGUUGGGUAACACUAACUGGAGGACCGAACCGACUAAUGUUGAAAAAUUAGCGGAUGACCUGUGGCUGGGGGUGAAAGGCCAAUCAAACCGGGAGAUAGCUGGUUCUCCCCGAAAGCUAUUUAGGUAGCGCCUCGUGAAUUCAUCUCCGGGGGUAGAGCACUGUUUCGGCUAGGGGGCCAUCCCGGCUUACCAACCCGAUGCAAACUGCGAAUACCGGAGAAUGUUAUCACGGGAGACACACGGCGGGUGCUAACGUCCGUCGUGAAGAGGGAAACAACCCAGACCGCCAGCUAAGGUCCCAAAGUCAUGGUUAAGUGGGAAACGAUGUGGGAAGGCCCAGACAGCCAGGAUGUUGGCUUAGAAGCAGCCAUCAUUUAAAGAAAGCGUAAUAGCUCACUGGUCGAGUCGGCCUGCGCGGAAGAUGUAACGGGGCUAAACCAUGCACCGAAGCUGCGGCAGCGAACGUAUCACUUAAAGCGAUUCAGCGGGUUACGAUUGACGGAGCGAAGCGACGUCAAAGCGUAUACAAAGUCGAGUCGGUUUAAGGAUACGUUCGUUGGGUAGGGGAGCGUUCUGUAAGCCUGUGAAGGUGGCCUGUGAGGGUUGCUGGAGGUAUCAGAAGUGCGAAUGCUGACAUAAGUAACGAUAAAGCGGGUGAAAAGCCCGCUCGCCGGAAGACCAAGGGUUCCUGUCCAACGUUAAUCGGGGCAGGGUGAGUCGACCCCUAAGGCGAGGCCGAAAGGCGUAGUCGAUGGGAAACAGGUUAAUAUUCCUGUACUUGGUGUUACUGCGAAGGGGGACGGAGAAGGCUAUGUUGGCCGGGCGACGGUUGUCCCGGUUUAAGCGUGUAGGUGUGUGUUCCAGGUAAAUCCGGUUCACUUUAACACUGAGGCGUGAUGACGAGGCACUACGGUGCUGAAGCAACAAAUGCCCUGCUUCCAGGAAAAGCCUCUAAGCAUCAGGUAACAUCAAAUCGUACCCCAAACCGACACAGGUGGUCAGGUAGAGAAUACCAAGGCGCUUGAGAGAACUCGGGUGAAGGAACUAGGCAAAAUGGUGCCGUAACUUCGGGAGAAGGCACGCUGACACGUAGGUGAAGUGAUUUACUCAUGGAGCUGAAGUCAGUCGAAGAUACCAGCUGGCUGCAACUGUUUAUUAAAAACACAGCACUGUGCAAACACGAAAGUGGACGUAUACGGUGUGACGCCUGCCCGGUGCCGGAAGGUUAAUUGAUGGGGUCAGCGCAAGCGAAGCUCCUGAUCGAAGCCCCGGUAAACGGCGGCCGUAACUAUAACGGUCCUAAGGUAGCGAAAUUCCUUGUCGGGUAAGUUCCGACCUGCACGAAUGGCGUAAUGAUGGCCAGGCUGUCUCCACCCGAGACUCAGUGAAAUUGAACUCGCUGUGAAGAUGCAGUGUACCCGCGGCAAGACGGAAAGACCCCGUGAACCUUUACUAUAGCUUGACACUGAACAUUGAGCCUUGAUGUGUAGGAUAGGUGGGAGGCUUUGAAGCGUGGACGCCAGUCUGCGUGGAGCCGACCUUGAAAUACCACCCUUUAAUGUUUGAUGUUCUAACGUGGACCCGUAAUCCGGGUUGCGGACAGUGUCUGGUGGGUAGUUUGACUGGGGCGGUCUCCUCCUAAAGAGUAACGGAGGAGCACGAAGGUUGGCUAAUCCUGGUCGGACAUCAGGAGGUUAGUGCAAUGGCAUAAGCCAGCUUGACUGCGAGCGUGACGGCGCGAGCAGGUGCGAAAGCAGGUCAUAGUGAUCCGGUGGUUCUGAAUGGAAGGGCCAUCGCUCAACGGAUAAAAGGUACUCCGGGGAUAACAGGCUGAUACCGCCCAAGAGUUCAUAUCGACGGCGGUGUUUGGCACCUCGAUGUCGGCUCAUCACAUCCUGGGGCUGAAGUAGGUCCCAAGGGUAUGGCUGUUCGCCAUUUAAAGUGGUACGCGAGCUGGGUUUAGAACGUCGUGAGACAGUUCGGUCCCUAUCUGCCGUGGGCGCUGGAGAACUGAGGGGGGCUGCUCCUAGUACGAGAGGACCGGAGUGGACGCAUCACUGGUGUUCGGGUUGUCAUGCCAAUGGCACUGCCCGGUAGCUAAAUGCGGAAGAGAUAAGUGCUGAAAGCAUCUAAGCACGAAACUUGCCCCGAGAUGAGUUCUCCCUGAGACUUAGAGUCUCCUGAAGGAACGUUGAAGACGACGACGUUGAUAGGCCGGGUGUGUAAGCGCAGCGAUGCGUUGAGCUAACCGGUACUAAUGAACCGUGAGGCUUAACCUU